rnacentral:tRNA from 1 species
GCCCCGGUAGCUCAGCUGGAAGAGCGAUUGCCUUGUAAGCAGUAGGUCGCGGGAUCGAGACCCGCCCGGGGCU